ACGUAGGCAGCAAGCGUUGUUCGGAAUUACUGGGCGUAAAGAGUGCGUAGGUGGUUGGCUAAGUUUGGUGUGAAAUCUCCUGGCUUAACUGGGAGGGUGCGCCGAAAACUGGCUGGCUAGAGUGUGGGAGAGGGACGUGGAAUUCCUGGUGUAGCGGUGAAAUGCGUAGAUAUCAGGAGGAACACCUGCGGUGUAGACGGCGUCCUGGACCAUUACUGACACUGAGGCACGAAAGCGUGGGGAGCAAACAG
rnacentral:rRNA from 1 species